rnacentral:lncRNA from 1 species
AUGCCUUGUGGAGCCUCUCAGGUGACCCCAUGGCUCUGAUCACGUUGGGGAGGCCACGCAAUCCCACGCUUCUGGUGGCAGAGUUGCAAAAAAAAAGGCCACAGAAAAGGGAAAUAAAAUUACUUGAGUUAUUUCUCAGCCCAUCUGCAUCACUCCCUGCUUGCAGAAGAACUCCCUAAUGUCAGCAUCCAGCAGAUGUGCAUGGUGUGGGCAUGCCCAAGAAGAGAUUCCUCCCAGCACUGCAGGGCUGUGGAGCAGCAGAGCUGGGUCACCUGGGCUGCUCCUGGCUCUCUGUGGGGUGUGAGCAGUACUACAGCAUCUCCCACUACAGCAUCUCCCACACGGUGCGGUGGGGAAGGAUGGCCGGGGCUGGGUGAUGGUGAGCAGCAUCUGAGUCAUCGCUAACAGUUCCUACCACUGUGCCACCUUGGGGUUGAGGCUGAGAUUUUUGCAGCAAUCCUCUGGUUUGGUCUGACCCCUGGGCUGCGCCGAUUCACCGUUUGCUCUGAGCCACGUGGCAGGGAAGGCGAGCUCUCUGGGAAAGAAAAGUUAGCGAUAAAAGGGAGCAGCACAGCAAGGUGUUUGCAACACGGAAAGAACCUCACUCUCUCGGAUGAAAGGCCAGCUUCAGGUGGAUGAGCUCCCAGCCUGGUUCCUGGGGAAGCUUGUGAGAACAGACAGCAACCUCGGUGUCAGUGCUGCAUGGAGCUGCCCUGAGUGCUGCCCAACGUGUACAGCUGUCAUCCUGCCUUGCUGCAGGCAUCAGCCCAGGUGCAUAAAUCCCAUGGAGAGAGGGAAUGGGAUGCCAUUCACCUCGAGUCAGCUGAUGAAUUGAAUAAGGGAAUGCCCCUUCCAAUCACCAGCAGUGACCACAAAAAGGCAGAGGCUGGCUGUUCCAGCCCUGGCAUGCCAAGUAAUAAUGCAUUAUUACACCCCUGCUUCACUUCGCUCUCAACACUUGCUUUUCUUCCUUGAACCAAGUGCUACCUUGUGGCCAUCAGUGGAUUUUAAGUUAACCCUGCCAUCACCUGAAAGGCAAAACCUACCAUGGAAUUAAUAUGAGUUCACUUGGCAGAUGAGGCAAAUACAGAAGCCGUUGUAAGAGUUUGGAGUAAUUGUCUUUUAAAUAUCUACAUAUCUAUAAUAUAUACUCGUAUGCGUGCACAAAUGUGUGCAUGUAGGCAGACGUGGCAAAUGUGUAUAUAUGCAUGCGUGUGUAGAGACGAGGGGAGGGGGUAUUUUGUACAAAAGGCAAAGGUGUAGAAUUUGAGGGUUGCCAUGGAUACAGGUCAGAUGCCUUUGUUCUCGCAUUGUGGUGUAGCUUAGGGAGAUGAGAGAUGCACCAGCUACAGAGAGAGAUGAGGGAAGAAUUUUAAAAAAAAUAAAUUGGUACGUGAAGGAAAAUAUCCA